AGCGAACGCUGGCGGCAGGCCUAAUACAUGCAAGUCGAGCGGUCCCUUCGGGGGCAGCGGCGGACGGGUGAGUAACGCGUGGGAACGUGCCCUUUGGUACGGAACAACUGAGGGAAACUUCAGCUAAUACCGUAUGUGCCCUUCGGGGGAAAAGAUUUAUCGCCAUUGGAGCGGCCCGCGUUGGAUUAGGUAGUUGGUGAGGUAAAGGCUCACCAAGCCUACGAUCCAUAGCUGGUCUGAGAGGAUGAUCAGCCACACUGGGACUGAGACACGGCCCAGACUCCUACGGGAGGCAGCAGUAGGGAAUCUUGCGCAAUGGGCGAAAGCCUGACGCAGCCAUGCCGCGUGAAUGAUGAAGGUCUUAGGAUUGUAAAAUUCUUUCACCGGGGACGAUAAUGACGGUACCCGGAGAAGAAGCCCCGGCUAACUUCGUG
rnacentral:rRNA from 1 species